UAUAUGAACUGUGCGUGGAGAGGCCGUGAAGGGUUAACCGCAAAUGGUACUGCGGUUAACCCCUGCCGCAGUACGAAUAGCGGAUGGUUUUGGGGUGCGUUGUGGAACCGCAAGUCGUUUUGCGGUUAAGGCAUGUCGCAGCUGGAUCAGCGUCUGAAACCAACCACCAAUGGAUUCGCGGUUGGUUUGGUUUUGGGGGUGCACGGGAGAAACGCAACUCAAACUACGGUUGGCGUAAAACGCAGCUCAGACUGCGUUGGGGGAAAACGCAGCUCAGACUGCGUUGGAGGGAAACGCAGCUCAGACUGGGAUUGUGG
rnacentral:lncRNA from 1 species